UACAGAGGUCUCAAGCGUUUGUUCGGAUUCAUUGGGCGUAAAGGGUGCGUAGGCGGCGCGGUAAGUCGGGUGUGAAAUCUCGGAGCUUAACUUCGAAACUGCAUUCGAUACUGCCGUGCUUGAGGACUGGAGAGGAGACUGGAAUUUACGGUGUAGCGGUGAAAUGCGUAGAUAUCGUAAGGAAGACCAGUGGCGAAGGCGGGUCUCUGGACAGUUCCUGACGCUGAGGCACGAAGGCCAGGGGAGCAAACGGG
rnacentral:rRNA from 1 species